GAAGUUAAAGAACAGAUGAGAAACAAGAAAAUCCUGAAGGCAGAUGUCCGUCCAUCAGUUAGAAACCUUAACAUCAAAUCCACCAAACAAUGCAGAAGGAUAAUGAUCCAAAGUCCACCAAAAAGUAAAAAAGUAACGGUUUCUAAGUGCCCAGAAAAGGAAUCUCUGGCGGUUCUUCAUCCCAUCCUUCCCAACAUCUUGCUCAGGGGCUUCACUCACUCAGUGAUAGUAGCUCUGUCGGUGUGCACCGCGGCCGCUUCGGACCGGCCCGGCACCUUUUGUAAAGCGCCACAGGCAGCCAAAGCCAAUGCUAAGCACAGCGCAGGGAUCUUAGAGCCACAAACCUUGCACAGCCGCUGCGCUGCCUUCCAAUAUCGAGCCUACGAGUAUUCUGAGGGAGGAAACGGUCCCGGACACGGAGCCGCAAAGCCAGCGAUGCCCGGACCCUCACCGGCCAGCAGCAAGGCUCGGGUGUACACCGACGUCAACACACAGAAGAACAGAGAGUACUGGGACUAUGAUGCACACGUGCCAAACUGGAGCAAUCAAGACAACUAUCAGCUGGUGCGCAAACUGGGCCGAGGGAAGUACAGCGAGGUGUUCGAGGCUAUAAAUGUGACAAACAAUGAGAAGGUGGUGGUGAAAAUCCUCAAGCCCGUCAAGAAGAAGAAGAUCAAACGGGAAAUAAAAAUCCUGGAAAACCUGCGAGGAGGAACCAACAUCAUCCGUCUGGUGGACACGGUCAAGGACCCGGUGUCCAGAACACCAGCGCUUGUCUUUGAGUACAUCAAUAACACAGAUUUUAAGGAGCUGUACCAGAAGCUGACAGAUUACGAUAUCCGUUAUUACAUGUAUGAGCUGCUAAAGGCUCUGGACUACUGUCACAGUGUGGGGAUCAUGCACCGGGACGUGAAGCCCCACAACGUGAUGAUCGACCACCAGCUGAGGAAGCUCCGUCUCAUAGAUUGGGGUUUGGCUGAGUUCUACCACCCCGCUCAGGAAUACAACGUCAGGGUGGCGUCUCGCUAUUUCAAAGGCCCUGAGCUGCUAGUGGACUAUCAGAUGUAUGACUACAGUCUGGACAUGUGGAGUUUAGGCUGCAUGUUGGCGAGCAUGAUCUUCCUGAAGGAGCCGUUCUUUCACGGCCAGGACAACUACGACCAGUUGGUCCGCAUCGCUAAGGUUCUCGGCACCGAGGAGCUGUUCGGCUACCUGCACAAGUAUCACAUAGAACUGGACACUCGCUUCAAAGACCUGCUGGGACAGCAGUCACGGAAGCGCUGGGAGCAGUUCAUCCAGUCCGAAAACCAGCACCUGGUGAGUCCGGAGGCCCUGGACCUGCUGGACCAGCUGCUGCGCUACGACCACCAGCAGAGGCUGACGGCGGGCGAGGCCAUGCGGCACCCGUACUUCUGUCAGUACCAGCAACCCGUUGCCAUGAGAACCUGACUCCAACAAAGGGUUCUUGGGGUUAACUUGUCACCUUUAACCGAGUGAAUUCUGAAAGCUGAACAGAUCAAAUGUUUUCUCUGUAAUUCAACUAAAAUCUCGCUGUGAAAGAAGCAGGUGGUGAGUUAAGGGGGCUGAAACGAUGCAGCUCGAGUUUCAUCAGUUUUAGGAACAACCUUCAAUUUUGAAAGAUUCCAAGAACAGAAGAAGAGCAGAUCUGUCAGCUGAUAUUCUGCAGCACAGUUGGUGCCCAGAGAGGAAUUAGUUUUCAAUAGAAACAAGACUUGACAUAAGAGCUCAUCCCAGUUUUCACAGUAAUUCUUUUCCUGAUAUUCUAGAGCCUGGAUCUCAGACACAAUGUUUCUAGGAAUCUUUUGCUUAUUUGACGUCUCCAGGCUCUGUUUGUCUCCUGUUCUUCUCGGCUCCAUGUAGGGAACCUGACAGCUUCUUUUUGUUCCUCAGAUCCCGUGGUGAAGGAACAGACGAACGCCAACACAGACGGCACAAAGGCAAUAAGCAACUCCAAUGCAACAUGAUAGCCCGACAGCAGAAAGAAAUGACUGGUGACCAGAAUCUGAUGGUUUUCACCCUGAUUGGCCUUAACCAGCCAAUCAGAAACUCAGAAAUCCGCACCAUACCUAAGUGCUACUGGGUCGCGCUGAGAGAACCCGUCCAUGAGGAGAAGAAUUGGUAUCUACUAGUUUCAGUAAGCCGGGGUGUCCUGGGCCCCUCUGCAGUGAGGUGUUAAGAGUCAUGCUUACGGUUCCAGGCUGCGAGAGAGAGAGCAAGACUUAAAGAUGAUAACAGGAAGGCUAAACAUGUCACAGCUGAGCGCCUCUGUUAUGGAACAUGCUGGAUUUGAAAACCUUACAGUUAAGGAAAAAUCUUUCUUACCUCAACUUGCAACCUUUUCUUGGCAGAAAUCUCUGCCUCCACAUCAACAGCCAUACUGGAGCAAGAUGUCAUUUUUUUGCAGCACACACACACUCCCCCCGCCGGCCCACACGCACACCCACCCCCCUCCCACACACACACACACACACACAGUCAGUCAAUACUGGACGGACUGAACCUGUCCCAUCAGAGCCCAGGGAACCUGCUGCCACAGAUAAUUUGGAUCGGAAAUCGGAUCUGAACGCCCAUUUUUAAACACAAAGUGACUGUCGUUGGAUCAGUAUCCGGCAUCAUCAUUGCAGCGGCGGGAGAUCCGGUUCCAGGUUUUAGCACUGACGCGGAGGCUCUUUUCUGCUAUGAUAGAACAAAAGCUAUAUUGAAAGAGAAUAAACUGUUUUUAUUUAAAGGCAA